GGCCUCGUGGUGGAGUGGUAAGAACACUUGAUUUUCGCCCAGGAGUCCCGGGUUCGAUCUUCGGUCGAGGAGCUA